rnacentral:lncRNA from 1 species
GAACAUUCAAAGCAGUGUCCCAGAGAUUCUGGUAUGUUGUGUCUUUGUUCUCGUUGGUUUCAAAGAACAUCUUUAUUUUAAAAAAGGUAGCAUUCAAAUGGAAAGCAAAUUGGCAAAUAAAAUUUUAACUAUAUACAAAUGAUAAUAGAUGUAAAGACUCUUUAGUGAAAAACCAGACUGCCAGAUUAGAUUUUUUUUAAAACCUGAUUCUAUAAUUUCUACCAAAAACACUUUGCAUUCAAAGACAUAGAUUGACUGAAUUUUUUUUAGUGCCUAAAUAUGUAGGGGGCAAUUUGUAGAGGGAAAUUUAAGUACAUCAGAAAUACAUAACAACUAUAAUGUGUAUACACAUCUAGCAAGAGAAUCCCAAACACAUGAAACAACAAACUAGCAAAUUGAAAUGAUAUAUCAACCAUUCAACAAUAACUGGUGAAAGAAUUCAGUGAAUUACUUUCAAUGAUUAAUAAGAAAGAUAGAAAUUCAGCAAGUUUAAAGACUUGACUUGAACAGGACUAUAAAACAAUUUGACCUAAUUGUCAGUCAUAUAUAAACCCUUUCGUGUAACUACUGAAGAUAGAUAUUAUUUUCAGGCACAUAUAGGGAAUUCGCCAAGAUAGAGCAUAUUCUGGGUCACAAAAUAAGCUUCAAAACAUUUUAAAAGUAUUUUUGUCCUAUAAAUAUGUUAUCUUACCACAAUGGAAUUAGAGAUAAUCAAGAAACAGAAAUCGUAGAAAUAGCCACUUUUUCAAAUAUUUGGAAAUUUAACAACAUACUUUUAAAUAAUCCAGAAGGGAAUUUUAGGAAAAUCCUGAAAUUAACAAAAAUGAAAGUAGUGUCUAGCAGAAUUUAUGGGGGUCAGUUAAGCAAUGGUUAGAAGGACAUUAAUAGCAAAAAACAACUAAAGAAAAUCAGAAAGUUCUAGAAUCAAUGAUUUAAGUUUCCACCUUAAGGAACUAAUAAAACAAGUGGAAAUGGAAC